ensembl:lncRNA
CUGGACGACGGCAGGAGUGAGGAGCCGGACCAGACGUGGGGCUGAUGGGUGUGACCUGAGGAUUGCGGUCCCCCACCCGAAUCUGCAGCUGGCCUGGGCUGCCGGGUCCAAAUAGACCAUUUCCACGUCCGAAGGACCGGAAGAAAUAUGAGUGAAAACAAUGAAGAAUUCAACCUCAACCUUAUUACAGAUGCUCAAAAUUUCGAACUCCCACGCCAGAGAGGUGGUCAGAAACCAAUGGGCGCAGUGUGGAUCAGUCAGGAUGAUUUUAUGGAAUUGUGUCAAAGGAGGUUCGAAAAGAGGAAACCAAGUGCAUGGCCACUGGGGACCAUGCAUCUUUCCCUGGAAAGAUACAAACCUGAUUACAGAAAGACGGGAAAGCCCAAGCCCCAUAUCCUUUCUUGUCUUAUUAUGCCCCUAAAAAAAAGUUAUUGUUUGAAAAUCCCAUAUUUCCUUUUUCUAAAAUUCAUUUGUAGGCUCUAAGAUCUAGUUUGUGAUCUUGAGUUGGCCAUUAGAGGGGGCAGUGGAAGUCACACUGAACAUCCACCAUCUGCCAAGUUCUGUGAAUUAUCUUUUUUUCCUCUCUGUCUCAUCUAUCCUUCUAUCUACCUACCUACCUACCUACUUAUUUACCAGCCUCCAAGUUUAGCUUGCUAACUCAUGCCAUCUCUCUGUAUCUGUCUUAUACUAAGUUCAUGUAUAAGAAAUCACUAGGGAACUUAAGAAUUGACCAUAUUUUGAACAGUCAGUAAACAUUGAGCUGGGAUGAAAAGACAUAUCUGUUUGAUCUGACAUUUCUUGUCAUUUUCACCUGACCAGAAGUGCAUGUCUGAUUUUGGUGACUUUUUUGGGUAUCUUUCUGGUAAGGCGUUCCAUAAAUUUGCCUGUAGGGUGAAGCCAAUUUGGGGUGGUAAUUCUCAGUGAGGACUGAUGAAGUUUGCACAAAGGAAAGGACAGAGUCUUUCCUUAGAGUCUGAGGAAAGAUUUUCCUGUGCAAUAUUCUGACCCCUGCUCCUCGACCAUCACCCUCACUGAGACCCCUUGACAAAUCAAAUCAACUUUGUCUCUGUUUCCACAAAUGUCACUUUAGUCAACAUGGAGAUGGGGGCAUCUUUCCUACCUUAUCAUAGAAAUGAUAUUGUUAUUUUAUUUCGAAAAGAGUAUUUUUAUAUUGGGCAAGUAAAGGAUUCUCCAUUACUCUAAUACUGUUGGACUGUGCCGGUAAAGCAAUUAAUGGUCUUGUCCAUCAAUCUAUGGAAGGAUUUAUUCUGAGGAGAAAAGUUCUAAUAGAUAGAUGAUAGACAGAUAGGUAAUAGAUAGAUAAUAGGUAGAUAGAUAAUAGAUAAGUGGAUAGAUGGCUGGAUAGGAAGGCAGGUAGAUAGAUAGGCAGGCAGGCAGGUAGGUAGGUUGGUAGAUGACAUGUAAAUAGAUGAUUGAUAGAUAUAUGAAUAUAUCAGAUAGAAUGUUGGAUGGGUAGAUAGAU